rnacentral:rRNA from 1 species
UUAGGAAUCUUCCCCAAUGGGCGCAAGCCUGAGGGAGCGACACUGCGUGAAGGAUGAAGGCUUUCGGGUUGUAAACUUCUGAACGAGGGACGAUAGUGACGGUACCUCGGAAAAAGCACCGGCUAACUCCGUGCCAGCAGCCGCGGUAAUACGGAGGGUGCGAGCGUUAUCCGGAAUCACUGGGCGUAAAGGGCGCGUAGGCGGUUAUUCAAGUCCGAUGUUAAAGCGUGGGGCUCAACCCCAUCAGGGCGUUGGAUACUGGAUGGCUAGACGGCUGGAGAGGCAAGUAGAAUUACCAGAGUAGCGGUGGAAUGCGUAGAUACUGGUAGGAAUACCGAUAGCGAAGGCAGCUUGCUGGACAGUUAGUGACGCUGAGGCGCGAAAGUGUGGGGAGCGAACCGGAUUAGAUACCCGUGUAGUCC